UCACUUUACUAACUGAGUGACCAUGGUGCGCGUUUUGAGCUUAAGCAUUUUCGUGGUUUUGACCAUAUUUGCCUUACUUUUGUCCACGAUGCCGGGAUUGGUGUUUGCAGCAAAGGGACCAAGGAGAGGACCCGGCGGAGGCAGCGGUCCAAAAAAACCACAACGAAUCCCACCUGGACGUAGAGGCCGCUGACCUGCCUUUAAUGUCACAGACAAGAGCAUAUAAUAUUAAGGAAUAUGGCCACGAAUACCACUGUAUCCCGUCGACUACAUACAUUUUGGUGGAAAGUAAAGUUGUCUGGAAUGGUCA